UUGAACGCUGGCGGCAGGCCUAACACAUGCAAGUCGAGCGGUAACACAGAGAGCUUGCUCUCGGGUGACGAGCGGCGGACGGGUGAGUAAUGUCUGGGAAACUGCCUGAUGGAGGGGGAUAACUACUGGAAACGGUAGCUAAUACCGCAUAACGUCGCAAGACCAAAGUGGGGGACCUUCGGGCCUCAUGCCAUCAGAUGUGCCCAGAUGGGAUUAGCUAGUAGGUGGGGUAACGGCUCACCUAGGCGACGAUCCCUAGCUGGUCUGAGAGGAUGACCAGCCACACUGGAACUGAGACACGGUCCAGACUCCUACGGGAGGCAGCAGUGGGGAAUAUUGCACAAUGGGCGCAAGCCUGAUGCAGCCAUGCCGCGUGUGUGAAGAAGGCCUUCGGGUUGUAAAGCACUUUCAGCGGGGAGGAAGGCGGUGAGGUUAAUAACCUCAUCGAUUGACGUUACCCGCAGAAGAAGCACCGGCUAACUCCGUGCCAGCAGCCGCGGUAAUACGGAGGGUGCAAGCGUUAAUCGGAAUUACUGGGCGUAAAGCGCACGCAGGCGGUCUGUCAAGUCGGAUGUGAAAUCCCCGGGCUCAACCUGGGAACUGCAUUCGAAACUGGCAGGCUAGAGUCUUGUAGAGGGGGGUAGAAUUCCAGGUGUAGCGGUGAAAUGCGUAGAGAUCUGGAGGAAUACCGGUGGCGAAGGCGGCCCACUGGACAAAGACUGACGCUCAGGUGCGAAAGCGUGGGGAGCAAACAGGAUUAGAUACCCUGGUAGUCCACGCCGUAAACGAUGUCGAUUUGGAGGUUGUGCCCUUGAGGCGUGGCUUCCGGAGCUAACGCGUUAAAUCGACCGCCUGGGGAGUACGGCCGCAAGGUUAAAACUCAAAUGAAUUGACGGGGGCCCGCACAAGCGGUGGAGCAUGUGGUUUAAUUCGAUGCAACGCGAAGAACCUUACCUGGUCUUGACAUCCACAGAACUUUCCAGAGAUGGAUUGGUGCCUUCGGGAACUGUGAGACAGGUGCUGCAUGGCUGUCGUCAGCUCGUGUUGUGAAAUGUUGGGUUAAGUCCCGCAACGAGCGCAACCCUUAUCCUUUGUUGCCAGCGGUUCGGCCGGGAACUCAAAGGAGACUGCCAGUGAUAAACUGGAGGAAGGUGGGGAUGACGUCAAGUCAUCAUGGCCCUUACGACCAGGGCUACACACGUGCUACAAUGGCAUAUACAAAGAGAAGCGACCUCGCGAGAGCAAGCGGACCUCAUAAAGUAUGUCGUAGUCCGGAUUGGAGUCUGCAACUCGACUCCAUGAAGUCGGAAUCGCUAGUAAUCGUAGAUCAGAAUGCUACGGUGAAUACGUUCCCGGGCCUUGUACACACCGCCCGUCACACCAUGGGAGUGGGUUGCAAAAGAAGUAGGUAGCUUAACCUUCGGGAGGGCGCUUACCACUUUGUGAUUCAUGACUGGGGUG
rnacentral:rRNA from 1 species